rfam:Bosea sp. LC85 contig64, whole genome shotgun sequence.
CGUUGGCUUUCCACAGGUCAACACCGAAGAGGCUUGUCCUUCAUUGCCGGCCGUGCGGGGCUUCCCCAAUCGACGGUGUUUCGGGUCCGGACGUUUCGUCCGCUGUUCUCGGCGUCUCCAUCGCGCCGUGACCUGCGAACGACUC